rnacentral:lncRNA from 1 species
ACAACCCGUGUAUUAAUUUUGGAAAGUUCAAAAAAUCCCCUAUAUAUUAAAAGAGAAACAUUACAACAUAUUUUUGUAGCCACAUAUCAUCACCACAAUUAUUCUUAGAAUUCUUAAAAAAAUAUGUGGUCCAUAUAAAUAUAUAAUAAGCUUUUUAUUAAACUAACCAUAAAUUAAUCAUAUAUGUUUUUCAUUGUUUCCUUCAAUAAAAAUCACAAAAUUACCUAAUGUGGCUAAAGUAUAUAUAUGACAAUCAAUGAUUUUGAAUAAUAAAGAUUUGAUAAAAAUUAGUCUAUUCUCUAUCAUUUUUUUUUAAUUUUAACUUAUUAAAAUAAAUUAAACAGCCA